UACAAAAUAAUCGUAAUACUUUUCUAAAUUUCAAAUUUUCAGUUCUACCACAUUACUUUCCCUCCCCUGUAGUUAUGGAAACUGUGGAAUGGAGCCUGUCCAAGUUCCAGCAGCACCGUUCUGCUCUUGAAGUGAUUAAUGCUUAUACUUGUGCGUAUUGCUGGAUAGUCAAACCUUUUCCUGUAACCCGACAAACUUUUUGCACGGGACUGUACAUGCAAUAUAUAUGUUGUGUGUGUGUGUGUGUGUGUGGUUGUGUUCAGUUAUGUUUGAGGGAAAAAAAUUCAGUACAAACUAUAUACUUGAUGAUCAAUAUCAAAUUGUGAAGAUUUUGAUUCUGAAAGUUGAUAUGUAACUUAUUUUAAUUAUAGGGUGAAAUGAAAUCUACAGAAUCUGCUAAUAAACUUGCAAAAAGAGAAUCUUAU
rnacentral:lncRNA from 1 species